ensembl:snRNA U1 U1 spliceosomal RNA
AUUUUUACCCGGCAGGAGAUACCAUGAUCACGAAGGUGGUUUUCCAGGGCAAGGCUCCGGAUAUGCUGACCCGCAUGAUUUCCCCAAAUGUAGGAAACUCAACUGCAUAAUUUUUGAAGGACUGCAUUGCACUCUCUUC